GAUGAACGCUGGCGGCGUGCCUAACUCAUGCAAGUCGAGCGAUUUACUUCGGUAAAGAGCGGCGGACGGGUGAGUAACGCGUGGGUAACCUGCCCUGUACGCACGGAUAACAUACCGAAAGGUAUGCUAAUACGAGAUAAUAUGCUUUUAUCGCAUGGUAGAAGUAUCAAAGCUCCGGCGGUACAGGAUGGACCCGCGUCUGAUUAGCUAGUUGGUAAGGUAACGGCUUACCAAAGCGACGAUCAGUAGCCGACCUGAGAGGGUGAUCGGCCACAUUGGAACUGAGACACGGUCCAAACUCCUACGGGAGGCAGCAGUGGGGAAUAUUGCACAAUGGGCGAAAGCCUGAUGCAGCAACGCCGCGUGAGCGAUGAAGGCCUUCGGGUCGUAAAGCUCUGUCCUCAAGGAAGAUAAUGACGGUACUUGAGGAGGAAGCCCCGGCUAACUACGUGCCAGCAGCCGCCGCGG
rnacentral:rRNA from 1 species